GCCCCUUUCAUGUAAUAGAAAACCCUUUGACGAAAACCCUUUGACGGCCGCCAAAAUCUCUUUAACCUCAAAUCUCAGCUUCUCGUGUCUCAGUCUCUCGUCUGCCGUUCAAUGUUCAAUGUUCGAAAUCCGCCACCACCACAUUAUCACGAUGGUUUGCUAAAGAAUAUUGAGGAAUGAAGUUUUGGGUUUUUUUAAAUGGUUAACAAUUCAGGGAUUAUUGGAACUAUAAUUAAUGACAAAGAGUUAUUUAAUGCUAUCAUCAACCGUGAGGUAAGAAUUCUUCGAGUAUUUGAGAAAAGCCUACAUGGUGUAAAAAAAUUUAAAGAAUAAUUAUUUUGUAUUUAU